CCUACGGGAGGCAGCAGUGGGGGAUAUUGCACAAUGGGGGGAACCCUGAUGCAGCGACGCCGCGUGGGUGAAGGAGCGUUUCGGCGCGUAAAGCCCUAGCGGCAGGGAAGAAGAAGACGGUACCUGGCCAAGAAGCCCCGGCUAACGACGUGCCAGCAGCCGCGGUAAGACGUAGGGGGCAAGCGUUAUCCGGAUUUACUGGGUGUAAAGGGGGCGCAGCCGGCAAUGCAAGCCAGGAGGGAAAGCCCGGGGCCCAACCCCGGGACUGCUCUUGGAACUGCAUGGCUGGAGUACAGGAGGGGCAGGCGGACUUCCUCGUGUCGCGGUGAACUGCGUCGCUAUUCGGAGGAACCCCGGUGGCGAAGGCGGCCUGCUGGACUGUGCCUGCCGUUGAGGCCCGCCGGCGUGGGGAGCACAC
rnacentral:rRNA from 1 species